rnacentral:rRNA from 1 species
CCUACGGGAGGCAGCAGUGAGGAAUAUUGGUCAAUGGGCGGAAGCCUGAACCAGCCAAGUAGCGUGCGGGAUGAAGGCCCUACGGGUCGUAAACCGCUUUUGCACGGGGAUAACACCCUCCACUUGUGGAGGUCUGCAGGUACCGUGCGAAUAAGGACCGGCUAAUUCCGUGCCAGCAGCCGCGGUAAUACGGAAGGCCCGAGCGUUAUCCGGAUUCAUUGGGCUUAAAGGGAGCGUAGGCGGCCGUUCAAGUCAGCUGUAAAAUCGCGCGGCUCAACCGCGCCCCGCAGUUGAAACUGGACGGCUUGAGUUCGCAACAGGCAGGCGGAAUUCGUGGUGUAGCGGUGAAAUGCUUAGAUAUGACGAGGAACCCCGAUUGCGAAGGCAGCCUGCUGGGGUGCGACUGACGCUGAGGCUCGAAGGUGCGGGUAUCAAACAGGAUUAGAUACCCGAGUAGUC